UACAAUUUCACAUUUAACAAACUUAGAAAAAGAUUUGAAAAAUCAGGUGAUAAAUGACAAUAAUAUAUUACAUAUAUUUAUAAGAUAAAUAACAAUAACAACACAAAUUCUCUCUCUGCACAAAAUAUUCCAAUCUACCAUUCCUACCCCCAAUCCGAUGGAUAUCUGUUUAUAAAAAUUCUCCAAUCAACCAUACCCACCCUCACUCUCUCUCUCCCUCUCUCCAAAAUUGUUUAUGAGAAUCUUCACUAUAAGGAGUUGAAUGAUGGAGCUCUCAUUUGCAAGAUAUAGUUGCACACUUUUACUCCCUGACUAGUGCCUAACCUUGAUUUGGAUUUGGAGAAGCAGAAGCUGAAUGUUCAAUAUGGUCUCGAAUUUAAAUUUGGCUCUGUGUUGAUGUGGACAGAAAAAUCAGCUAAGGAUAGUGGAAUUUUAUUCAUGGACCAAACAUUAUCGCAUAAAUAAAAGCAUGAAAAAUUAUUACAGAUUCAAGCAAUCAUAUUAUGUAAUGAAAAAAAAUAAAAUUAAAAGAAAUAUAUAAAAGGCAAAAUCAUAUACCCAUUAUACCACUAUCAUAACCAAAAAUCAAUCAUCCCAUGACUGCUGCCAUUAGUGUUAUAACCACAUGCCGUGUGAGUUUUCUGAGGUACUUUGCAAGAUCGUCAUCUCGACCACCGUGGCUAAUAGCAAUAGUAGCAAAUCCCAUCUCCGACCCUCGCAAAUAAUAGCAAUAACCACCAUUUUUCAUCUUCCUUCAAUUUAGAUUGGGGAUUUUGGCGCCGAUUUUGCCACCUUUCAUGGUUGUUUCGGUGCUCGGUGUUGGACUAGGGUUUNNNNN
rnacentral:lncRNA from 1 species